AAGUGACCAAUCCUAUUCAUACUGUGGGCCAGGAGAGGAAAAUCAAUAUCUGUUGGAGAAUCUGAAGAGCCAAAUCUCCUGAGCCUGGGCCUACUGCUGUCAGCGUCUCUGAGACCUCUCUCACCUGAGAAUUACCAGGUCUCACAACACUUUCCGUCCAGCCUACAGUGAGGGAUGUCAACAAAGCUACAGAAAACUCACAUUUUCUAGACUUACAAGCUGUGCAGCUGGGCAGGAACCUUAUAAUCUCCAUCCUUAGGGAAGGUUCAGAAAUAUAGACAAAUGGGAUGAAAACUCGGAUAUGCUGAGCCUGAUAUAUACAAAAGCCUUCAGAUAGUCUCCUCAAGGAAGAGCCCAAUUAGGUCCACAUAAUUAGUCCACACAUCUAGAUUAGGUAUAGGCAAAACGAGCCCUUUCUCCAUCUACCAAAACAGAGCAAAAGACUGACAUAAUACUGUAAAAGAUUCUUGUUCUAAUAACAGUAUUAUAAUGCAGUUUCACCCAUAUUUAUUUUAAUCCGUAUAAAAGUAGGAGUGUGGAAAAUAAAACAUUACUUAUAUUUUUGAAAAUUGAUUAA
ensembl:lncRNA